rnacentral:rRNA from 1 species
UGGAUCCAGACUUUGAUUAUGGCUCAGGACGAACGCUGGCGGCACGCUUAACACAUGCAAGUCGAACGGAGAAUUGAUGGUUUACUAUUAAUUCUUAGUGGCGGACGGGUGAGUAACACGUGAGCAACCUGCCUUUGAGAGAGGGAUAGCUUCUGGAAACGGAUGGUAAUACCUCAUGAUAUAAUUUUAUCGCAUGGUGAAAUUAUCAAAGAUUUAUCACUCAAAGAUGGGCUCGCGUCUGAUUAGAUAGUUGGUGAGGUAACGGCUCACCAAGUCGACGAUCAGUAGCCGGACUGAGAGGUUGAACGGCCACAUUGGGACUGAGACACGGCCCAGACUCCUACGGGAGGCAGCAGUGGGGAAUAUUGCACAAUGGGGGAAACCCUGAUGCAGCGAUGCCGCGUGGAGGAAGAAGGUUUUCGGAUUGUAAACUCCUGUCUUAAAGGACGAUAAUGACGGUACUUUAGGAGGAAGCUCCGGCUAACUACGUGCCAGCAGCCGCGGUAAUACGUAGGGAGCGAGCGUUGUCCGGAAUUACUGGGUGUAAAGGGAGCGUAGGCGGGAUUGCAAGUCAGAUGUGAAAUGCAGAGGCUUAACCUCUGAGCUGCAUUUGAAACUGUAGUUCUUGAGUGAAGUAGAGGUGAGCGGAAUUCCUGGUGUAGCGGUGAAAUGCGUAGAUAUCAGGAGGAACACCGGUGGCGAAGGCGGCUUACUGGGCUUUUACUGACGCUGAGGCUCGAAAGCGUGGGUAGCAAACAGGAUUAGAUACCCUGGUAGUCCACGCUGUAAACGAUGAUUACUAGGUGUGGGGGGACUGACCCCUUCCGUGCCGCAGUUAACACAAUAAGCAAUCCACCUGGGGAGUACGGCCGCAAGGUUGCAACUCAAAUGAAUUGACGGA